CACCGCAUAUACACAUCGAUAUCCUCCCCCAAAGAGCGUCCCAUGCUAAACUGUGGCCAGAGAUCAUCGCCACUCGGCCAUGGGUAGAAUGGGCACGCAGAGUAACCCCAAGGUUUUAAUAUCCUAGUGCCUGAAGAUCGCCAAGCCUCUUCUCGUUCUCCUGGAACUUAAAACUACAAGACAAUAUCAAGACAAUCACCUCUGUUAGAUUAUAUACCAACCAAGUUGUGUAGGAAUUGAUAGGGAAUGAGAUAUAGUUUUUAGUCCUCCUCAAUGCUGGUUAGAUCUUAAUACAUACUUUCCGAAGCAUAACUCUUAAAUGGACUAAUAGUGAACCAGAGUUUUAAUUAUCCUAGUGCCUGAAGAUAGAAAACCACUUCUGGUUCUCCUGGAACUUAAAGCUACACUUGAAACUAGAGAUGUUACUUUAGGUAGUCCUCCUCAAUGCCAGUUGAUGGUACAUUUCAGCCAAACUGAGCAUAAACUCAUAAGGGACUCAUAGAAAAGGUGUUAACUAUCCUUGUGCUUGAAGAUUAAACCACUUCCCGCUCUCCUGGAACUUAAUUCAACAUUAAAAACGAUAUAAUACCAUGAAGAAUAGGGAUUUUCUUUUUAAUGAGUCGACCUCAAUGCUAGUUGAAGGAAACUCUAUCCCAGCUAAAGCAUAUUUUAUAACAGACUCAGAGGAAACUGUGUUAAUUAUCCUAGUGCUUGAAGAUUAAACAACUUCCCGCUCUCCUGGAAUUUAAGGCAACAUUAGAAAUAAAGUAUUUAUUGAAGACUUAUUGAUCCGUCCAAAACUAAAACUGCAGCGUUGAUUUCCACCGCGUUGUGGUAUUCAAUUGGACCACAACGAACCCCAUGGUUAGCUAUUCCUCUUAAGGGCAUUGGCUUAAAGAUGCAACCUUAAUAAAGCAUAAAUCAACAAACCCCUUUUUCUCAGAACACGUUUUUAGUCCACCUCAAUGCCAGACGGUUUAAAUAUACCUUGUCGUGCUGAGCAUCUCUAAAAUGGACUAAUAUUAAUUAGAAAUGUUUUAACUAUCCUUGUGCCUGAAGAUUAAAACCACUUCCUGCUCUCCUGGAAAUUAGAACAACACUUAGCUAAACAGUAUUUAUUGAGGACAUUGUCAUCCGUCCAAAACUAAAACUGCAGCGUUGAUCUCCACAACGUUGUGGUAUUCAAUUGGACCACAAAAAACCCCAAGGUUAGCUAUUCCUCUUAAGGGCAUUGGCUUAAAUAUGAAACCUUAAUAAAGCAUAAAUCAACAAA